rnacentral:rRNA from 1 species
UACGUAGGGGGCAAGCGUUAUCCGGAAUUAUUGGGCGUAAAGGGUGCGUAGGCGGUCGUUUAAGUCUGAGGUUAAAGUGCAGGGCUCAACCCUGUGAUGCCUUGGAAACUGGACGACUUGAGUAUGGUAGAGGCAAGUGGAAUUCCAUGUGUAGCGGUAAAAUGCGUAAAUAUAUGGAGGAACACCAGUGGCGAAGGCGGCUUGCUGGGCCAUUACUGACGCUGAGGCACGAAAGCGUGGGGAGCAAACA